rnacentral:tRNA from 1 species
AGGAGAUUAGUCCAAACGCAAGACCUCUGAUUUCGGCUCAGAAAACCACGGUUCAAGCCCGUGACCUCCUU